rnacentral:lncRNA from 10 species
CAAUGUAUAGCUGUAGCAACUGUUUUCUGUUACUAAAUAGGCGUUUUUUAAGCUGUUCAGUUUGCCCUUGAAAUAUGUCAAAUGACUCAUUUCAGGUUUACCUAGAGAGUAUUGUCUUUGUGUAACUCCAUCCUCUUAUCCCAGAAACAAUCAUUCUUGCAUGUCAUGGUUACCUCAUUUAGUGCCCUUUGAGAGCUUUUGCAGGUGGGCAAUAUUUCACAUGCAGUUUGGUUUGUAUGCUGUAAACAUCACUGAACAAAAACAAAACCAUCAGAAAAAUAACACUGGAAAGAUUGGAAGCUGCUAAGGGUAGAAUCAUUCUCAGUUAUGGGGUGGUCUAAAGGUUUGCUUUCUUGGAAUCCCAAAGGGAAGCUGUUUUAUGAGUGACAUAAGGAGAGCACACACAGGAAUGAGCUGAGGCAGAGGCUAUUGCUAUCAUGGUUUAUAAGCAUAACAGAUAGCCUAGACACUAUGGAUGGAAGCUUGGAAUAUCAUCGGAUAGAGUGGCACCAUCAGAGGAAUUCCUGGUAUUACCAAAUGAAGUAGGCAUGGGAACAGUUUUUGUGACAAAUAUUUUGGAUGUCUUCACUCUACCCCUCACCCACUGUAGGGAAGUGAAGGCAUGAGAAUUUGAACAGAAGAGACACCCUACUACCUGUACUUCCUACACAAGACCCAGUGACCACAGGCUCCCACCAUGUGAAGACAUACUUGCUUCUUUGUCGACUUGUGCAGUGAUUGUAAGUCUCCUGAGGCCUCCCCAGCCAUGCCUCCUGUACAGCCUGCAGAAUUGU